ensembl:rRNA 5_8S_rRNA 5.8S ribosomal RNA
GAUUUUUAGCGGUGGAUCACUGGGCUCCUGCGUUGAUUAAAAACGCAGCUAGCUGCGAGAAUUAAUGUGAAUUGCAGGACACAUUGAUCAUUGACACUUGGAACUCACUUGCGGCCCCAGGUUUCUCCUGAGGCUCUCCAUGUCUGAGCAUCG